rnacentral:tRNA from 1 species
GGCGAAGUGGCAGAGUGGUUUAUUGCAGCGGUCUUGAAAACCGCCGAUCCUGAAAGGGUUCCGUGAGUUCAAAUCUCACCUUCGCCGCCA